rnacentral:rRNA from 1 species
UACGGGGGGGGCAAGCGUUGUUCGGAAUUACUGGGCGUAAAGGGCUCGUCGGCGGCCAACUAAGUCAGACGUGAAAUCCCUCGGCUUAACCGGGGAACUGCGUCUGAUACUGGAUGGCUUGAGUUUGGGAGAGGGACGCGGAAUUCCAGGUGUAGCGGUGAAAUGCGUAGAUAUCUGGAGGAACACCGAUGGCGAAGGCAGCCACCUGGGCUGACACUGACGCUCAGGCACGAAAGCGUGGGGAGCAAACGGG